GGGAUCAAUCUGCCUGGCUCCCUGGAUGCCAACUAAGAAAUUUGUCGAGUGGUCUUGACUCUUCAUAGUUGGCAUCAGAGGAGUCAUGCAGGUCCAAC
rnacentral:pre_miRNA from 1 species